rnacentral:tRNA from 1 species
GUCCCCUUCGUCUAGUGGCCUAGGACGCUGCCCUCUCACGGCAGUAACAGGGGUUCGAAUCCCCUAGGGGACGCCA